CUCUCGGGUGACGAGUGGCGGACGGGUGAGUAAUGUCUGGGAAACUGCCUGAUGGAGGGGGAUAACUACUGGAAACGGUAGCUAAUACCGCAUAACGUCGCAAGACCAAAGAGGGGGACCUUCGGGCCUCUUGCCAUCAGAUGUGCCCAGAUGGGAUUAGCUAGUAGGUGGGGUAACGGCUCACCUAGGCGACGAUCCCUAGCUGGUCUGAGAGGAUGACCAGCCACACUGGAACUGAGACACGGUCCAGACUCCUACGGGAGGCAGCAGUGGGGAAUAUUGCACAAUGGGCGCAAGCCUGAUGCAGCCAUGCCGCGUGUAUGAAGAAGGCCUUCGGGUUGUAAAGUACUUUCAGCGGGGAGGAAGGCGUUAAGGUUAAUAACCUUGUCGAUUGACGUUACCCGCAGAAGAAGCACCGGCUAACUCCGUGCCAGCAGCCGCGGUAAUACGGAGGGUGCAAGCGUUAAUCGGAAUUACUGGGCGUAAAGCGCACGCAGGCGGUCUGUCAAGUCGGAUGUGAAAUCCCCGGGCUCAACCUGGGAACUGCAUUCGAAACUGGCAGGCUAGAGUCUUGUAGAGGGGGG
rnacentral:rRNA from 1 species